rnacentral:misc_RNA from 1 species
GAUGAAGAACGUAGCGAAAUGCGAUACUUGGUGUGAAUUGCAGAAUCCCGUGAACCAUUGAGUUUUUGAACGCAAGUUGCGCCUCAAGCCAUUAGGUUGAGGGCACGUCUGCCUGGGCGUCACAUAUCGUUGCCUGAUGCCAGUUUCCUCGUGAUGGGUGACUGUGCAGGGCGAAUGAUGGCUUCCCGUGAGCAUUGUUGCCUCAUGGUUGGUUGAAAAUUGAGUCCUUGGUAGGGAGCGCCGUGAUAGAUGGUGGUUGAGUGACGAACGAGACCCAAUCAUGUGAGACCCCUACCGAAUUUGGCCUUCAUGACCCACAUGCGUCUUUGGAACGCUCAUGACGAGACCUCAGGUCAGGCGGGGCUACCCGCUGAGUUUAAGCAUAUCAAUAAGCGGAGGA